AAAAUGCUACCAACAUAAAUAUACACACAGGCCGAUGCCCACCCACUUAUCAAGACACGCCCAAGUUCACACACAGACAGGUGUGUGUCUCUGUGUUAUCUGUAAGAGUAAGCAUAUAUGUGGAAUAGACCCUAAUACUUCACAAGGAGAGAAAGGAUUAUUUGUCCUGCAUAAAUUUGGACACUGCAUUGUCAUUUUCUCUCCUAAGACCUACUAAUCUGAAUACUGUAUGAAAAGUAAUAACUUCCCAGCCUUACUAGAUAUGAAGACUGAAAAGCUCUGUUUAAAUGGAAUUUCCAAUAAGGCCUCAGCAGUUGGCAUCAAAAAGUGCUGUAAACACUACUACAAGACUAUCCAUAAGAAAAAUAAUAACAAAAAUUUUACCAAAAUCCCCAUACUUGAACAAACAACCUUAAAAUAUAAAAAGCUCCAAAUCAUAUGAAUUAACAGGAAAUGGAAAUGGGCCUAUGAGGUUAUACUGUUCUAACCGAAAGUAUAAAGCCAAAAUCACCAUGCUUGCCACAAUGAAUCUCAACACAGAAUCCACGCCACCAAUGUCUUUCCAUGCCAUAGCAUGUUCAGAUAAUGGGAUGCACAUUGCUUUUUACUAUUUAUGUUUGAGAUUUUGCAAAUGAUAUUCCUUGAAAUCUUUUCACUAAAUCUUCCAAGUUGCCCUUUCAGCCAAAAGUAAUGAUUAGUCACCAAGAUUCAAUGCUAGUGAUGUGACUACCAAGGGUUUGAAGUAGCUGGUGAAGGUAUAAAACUGAAGGUUAAAAUUCUUCCUGAGAAACUAUAACAUGUUAUCCACUUGCCAGAAAAACUUCAACACAUUAUCAAGCCUACAUAAGAUGUGAAGAGGUAAACAAGAGAAAAAGGAAGUUAUAUCACAAGUUUGAAAUGAAAUCGAUGAUUAAAUCUGCAAAAAGAAGAAAACACUCCAAAAUCUAGAGAGAAUAUCUUGAUGCCUCUCAUACAAGUCAAGUUCUUUGUAAACACAGGGAAAUUGAUGCUAGUGCAAAAUGUUUGUAAUUCAACUCCAAAAUUAUGAGAUGAUUGCAGCAUAUCUUUACCUUAAAUCAUUUGGGUAUUUCAUUCAAAUGAACAUUUACAUUUAUUGGGGCAGCAAUACGUUAUCCCAGAUAUUCUUCUUAAAAAUUUUGGGCAGCCAUCUUGAAAAAUUAUAACCAUAGAAGUGAUCUUUCAUUAUAAUGCAUAGCCUCCUAAUGCUAUUUUCACAUGUUAAUUGUUAUUUCUACAUUCGAUUGCGCAAAGCCCGGACUUGCUCAAAACACUCAAGCCCAAUGACAUGCCCAUCUUGCAGCAGUUUAUACCACACACUUAGAAAUGGUUGGGAAUUUUGACUAGACCUUGGACCACAGAUAUGAGAGACCAAAUCUUGUUGAAACAAAGAAUUCAAGCUUUGCCAUGAGCUCUCAAUCAAAAUAGCUCAUUCGAGCUCUAUUCCAAAACAAAUUCAUAUUGAGUUUCACCAAUAUCAAGUCCAGACUCUUUGCUUGCAGCUUAAGUAGAAUGCAACCUGAAUCCUAUUGAAGGGGAAAUGCCAUAAAAUUCCAUC
rnacentral:lncRNA from 1 species